rnacentral:rRNA from 1 species
GAUGAACGCUAGCUACAGGCUUAACACAUGCAAGUCGAGGGGAAACGACAUCGAAAGCUUGCUUUUGGUGGGCGUCGACCGGCGCACGGGUGAGUAACGCGUAUCCAACCUGCCCACCACUUGGGGAUAACCUUGCGAAAGUAAGACUAAUACCCAAUGAUAUCCCACGAAGGCAUCCGAAUGGGAUUAAAGAUUUAUCGGUGAUGGAUGGGGAUGCGUCUGAUUAGCUUGUUGGCGGGGUAACGGCCCACCAAGGCAACGAUCAGUAGGGGUUCUGAGAGGAAGGUCCCCCACAUUGGAACUGAGACACGGUCCAAACUCCUACGGGAGGCAGCAGUGAGGAAUAUUGGUCAAUGGACGAGAGUCUGAACCAGCCAAGUAGCGUGCAGGACGACGGCCCUAUGGGUUGUAAACUGCUUUUAUAAGGGAAUAAAGUGAGUCUCGUGAGACUUUUUGCAUGUACCUUAUGAAUAAGGACCGGCUAAUUCCGUG